ensembl:lncRNA
GGUCAUUACCCAGCAGGGCCUCAGCAACCAAGGACUUACAGGCAGGGGUAGGUUGAACGCUACUAUGUGCCAAGCUCUAUCUGCUAUUACCGCAUGUAAUUCUCACAUUAUUUUUUACAGUAGAUAUUAUCCUCAUUUUACAGGAAAAAAACAGCUCAAAGAGAUUCACUCUUCUAAAAUCGUCUGUAUUCUUGGGCAAACAAAAUCUGGCCCCAAGAUCAUUUCCAAUACUGUUGUCAAAUUUUGUUAAUAAUUGCCAUUACCUCAAAGAAAUGUAAAUGAGUUGAGGGUGUGUCUGUGGGACUGACUCAGUUAUCCUACCAAGGUGGGUUCUGAUGCUGCCAUCUACCUGGUGCCAUCAUCUGAAUUCUAGGAAGAACCUUAGGAGGAAGGGAGCUUCCUCCAAAGGACUAACUUUGCAAAUUUCUUAUUUUUUGCCAGCUUUAUUUGCAAAUUUAAACCUAUGCAAUGAUACAGAAUACUCCACCUUGUUAGAUUUUGAACUUGAUAGAAACUGAGGCCAACAGUGAGCUAAUUGUUUCACUUAAUCCAUGAUAACGUCACAAGUCCCAGCCCAUGCUUUUCUCUUUGCCUUUUCUAACCUCUCUUCUGUGGACUUUCUUUUGACCCUGCCAUGUCUUAGGUACCUAGCACUUUCUUGGUUUUGAAAGACAUGCUCUCCUUAGUUAUCAACUAAUCCCUGCAGAGAAGGUACUCGAGGGUGUGUGUUUGUUCCUUUCAAAGGAUUUUAUGUUGCUGUUGUGAAUACUUGAAAGGCUUUGAGUGCUAAGCAAUGGAAUUUAGGCGUGGUGACUAGAUAGAUUCCUUGGUUUAGGAAUUGUUUAGGGUUGUAGGAGUGGGUUUAUCCAGCACCAUUCCCAUGCCUCCAUGUAGGUCCCACUCAGUUGAAGUCCAUCCUUGGAUGUUUCCCUUGUGAAUGCAGUGCAUUAGGUUUUUGGAGAAGCUUCUGGUAGUUGGGUACUAAUGACUUUUACCUGGCAGUGAUAGCAGUUGAGUUUGCUUUUCUGGCCAGGACUUAGAGAGGAAAUAUGCCGUAUUGGACAUUGGCAUCAGCACCUUGCCCACCUCCAGUCAAUGUCCAUAAUGUAUUUUAGCUGUUGGCCUCCCUCCCCAGAGACAAUAGGAAGAGGUGCUUUUAAAAGGAACACCUCUUCAUUAUAAUUUUGGUCCAGGAGAAAUCUAUAUUUUGUACUUCUUUCUCCUUUAGUACAUUGCUAGAAUUAUUACAAGCCAAUAUAGGUCGUACAAGGACCUUUUUGGACUCAAGUAUUUUUAGUUACUGAUCUAAAUCAGAGUUGGACAAAAGGUUUCCAUGGAAUUUGUCUUUUCCAUAAAGAUAAAAAUCUCUGUUUAUUAUUAAUCAGUACCAUUUAUUAAGUACAAUACUUACGAUGUAUCAGGCACUGCAUUAGAUAGUCUACAUAUAUUUAGAGAAACAAUAUAGCAGAAUAUUUAAGAGCAAACUCUCUGGACUGAUGAGUUCAAAUCCUGACUGCCUCAUACUAGGAAUGUAACCUUACACAAAUUACCUAAUCCCUCCGUGCCUCAGUAAUAGGCAUCUGUUUGGAGGAUUAAAUGAGUUAAUCUAGGUGAAGUGCUUAGAGCAGUCUCUGAUACCUGGUAAUAGCUCAAUAAAUGUUUUUCUAAUUCUUCCAGUAACCUCCAAGGUAAAUAUUGUUAUCCCCAUUUUAAGAUGAGGAAACUAAGACUCCAAAAUUAAAGACUAUCUCUGAAGUCACACAGAUAGUGACUGGUGGCACUGGUUUUAAACUCAGGGCUGUCAGAUCUCAAGCCCCCUCAACACUUCUCAGCAUAGAAGUUUGGGUUAUUUUUCUGUUUUCUCAGCUUAUGUCUUUGGGGACUGCAAAAGAGGCCCUGGUUUAUGACAUACUGCUGAGCACAUCAAUCAUUUUUUACUCAACAUUUAUUACAUGUGUAAAUAUCUUCUGCAAAUGAAGUAGCAGAACUCUACCAAGGAACAGGGGUUUAUGGACAUUUAGUCUAUGGAAUUAGAAAAUUUUGUGACUGUAUAUUAAAGGGAAGAUCUGAAAUAACAAAGCUUUACCACAAAUGUGUGUGACUCCUGAUCUCCCAGAGAGGGAAGUGCCAGGAAGUAUUAGGGGCCUAAUACUUUUCCUGGCAACAAUCCUGCUUCUCUCUGGGAGGGUUCACCACCCUCUCUGUGUCUGAGGAGACACAGCACGUUUAUUUUAUGGCAUGGCAGGGCAGUCAGGGGAGCAUUUAUAACUGUUCUCUACCAAGUUGCACCAUACACCCAACUUUCGAGUUUACGUUCUAGAACAGGGUCCUCCUGGUAGGCAGAGAUCUAAUCUCAGUCUUAAAGUACUACUGGUAGAACUCCAAGUUGAUUGUUGACACUAUCUGCCAGCAGGCACUCCCAGGGAAGACAAACCCUCAAACAAUGAUCUUCCCUCUCCUACCGCACUGCUGUCUUCAUAUACUCACCCAGGGACUUGAAGGUUCCUCUUCUGCCUGUUCCUUCAGUGUUACGUGUCCUCGGAGUUCCUGCCUGAUCUCUGUUUCUCACUGUAGUUCACGUCCCCUACUCCCACCCCUCCCAACCCCAGGCAAUCUCCUCCUUCCUCACCCAUAACUCUAAUAACCCUUUCUAUGUUAAAUCCUCAGUUCAGAUCUUUCUCUCAUGCCUCAGGUCCUUAUCGCUCACCAACCACUGGACAUCUCCACUUGGACAUCCCAUAGAUACCUCCAAAUCAAUCAGUUUAAAACUGAGCUCAUUAUCCUUUCUCUCCUGAAUCAUCUCCUUUCCCACCCAAAUUUGCUUCUCCCACUGUGUUUGUAAUCUGUUCUUCAUACUACAGCCAGAGGGAUCUCUCUAAAAUGAAAAUCUGAUAAUGUUUCUCCUAUUUAAAAUCCUUCAGGGGCCAGCCCCGUGGCUGAGUGGUUAAGUUUGCACGCUCCACUUUGGCAGCCAGGGGUUCGCAAGUUCGGAUCCUGGGUGCAGACCUAGCACUGCUCAUCAAGCCAUGCUGUGGUGGUGUCCCACAUAGCAGAACUAGAAGGACCUACAACUAGAAUGUACAACUAUGUACUGGGGGGCUUUGGGGAGAAGAAGAAAAAAA